rnacentral:sRNA from 1 species
GCCGUAUCGGUUCGAUCGGGAUACUCAUCAAAUAACAAUGAAAACCGGGCUGUCUUCUUUUGCCAAUGGCGGGCCACUAACCAAGCGUUACCCAUAAUGCCAGUGGAUUACAAAGGCGAAGAGCACCCAUAACCUGUGAUAAAGGAGUUUUCAUCACAUCACCCUUAUGGCC